rnacentral:rRNA from 1 species
UACGGGGGGAGCAAGCGUUGUUCGGAUUUACUGGGCGUAAAGGGCGCGUAGGCGGUCAGCACAAGUCGGUUGUGAAAUCUCCGGGCUUAACUCGGAAAGGUCAACCGAAACUGUGCGACUAGAGUGCAGAAGGGGCAACUGGAAUUCUUGGUGUAGCGGUGAAAUGCGUAGAUAUCAAGAGGAACACCUGCGGCGAAGGCGGGUUGCUGGGCUGACACUGACGCUGAAGCGCGAAAGCCAGGGGAGCGAACGGG